CCCUACGGGACGCAGCAGUGAGGAAUAUUGGUCAAUGGGCUUACGCCUGAACCAGCCAAGUCGCGUGGGGGAAGACUGCCCUAUGGGUUGUAAACCUCUUUUGUCAGGGAGCAACGCCGGCUACGUGUAGCCGGACUGAGAGUACCUGAAGAAAAAGCAUCGGCUAACUCCGUGCCAGCAGCCGCGGUAAUACGUAGGGGGCAAGCGUUAUCCGGAAUCACUGGGUGUAAAGGGAGCGUAGACGGCUGUGCAAGCCUGAAGUGAAAGGCGGGGGCCCAACCCCUGGACUGCUUUGGGAACUGCAC
rnacentral:rRNA from 1 species